UCUCUUAGCCAGGAGGGGAGAUGGGAUAAUCGUGAAGGUGGUUUUCCCACAAUGAGACUCAUCCAUUGUGCUCCAGGUGUGCUGACCCCUGUAAAGUCCCCAGAUGUGGGAAACUCUACUGCAUAAUCUAUGGUAAUUACACCAAUAGUAUCCUAUUAA
rnacentral:snRNA from 1 species